UAACUUGUCCAACAAGUUCAUCCUCCAUUCCUUCUUCCAGACAGUGAACUCCACGAGAUAAAAUCAUGUCUUUUUGUUGGUAAUGUCAAGGCAAUAGUUACUGUAGGUUGUAUUUGUAAUAAAAAGUCUUAACUUGUCCAACAAGUUCAUCCUCCAUUCCUUCUUCCAGAGUGAACUCCACGAGAUAAAAUCAUGUCUUUUUGUUGGUAAUGUCAAGGCAAUAGUUACUGUAGGUUGUAUUUGUAAUAAAAAGUCUGGGUGGGAACAAUUCUAGGUCUUACGUGAUAAGAAAAGAAAAUCAAGGGAGAAAACAUCAAGGAUGGCACAUCAAAUGUAAAGCAGCAUUUACAC
rnacentral:lncRNA from 1 species